CCUACGGGUGGCAGCAGUGGGGAAUAUUGCACAAUGGGGGAAACCCUGAUGCAGCGACGCCGCGUGAAGGAAGAAGUAUUUCGGUAUGUAAACUUCUAUCAGCAGGGAAGAAAAUGACGGUACCUGACUACGAAGCCCCGGCUAACUACGUGCCAGCAGCCGCGGUAAUACGUAGGGGGCAAGCGUUAUCCGGAUUUACUGGGUGUAAAGGGAGCGUAGGCGGCGAUGCAAGUCAGGAGUGAAAGCCCGGGGCUCAACUCCGGGACUGCUUUUGAAACUGUGUUGCUAGAGUGCAGGAGAGGUAGGGGGAAUUCCUAGUGUAGCGGUGAAAUGCGUAGAUAUUAGGAGGAACACCAGUGGCGAAGGCGGCUUACUGGACUGUAAAUGACGCUGAGGCUCGAAAGCGUGGGGAGCAAACAGGAUUAGAUACCCGUGUAGUC
rnacentral:rRNA from 1 species